rnacentral:lncRNA from 10 species
AAGGAAACUGAAUCCCUAGUCAGAGAGGUCACUCAGCUCCUACAUGAGGCAUUCCAAAGCCAGGGUCUCCCACUGUACAUAAUAGGAGGUUGCCUUUAACAGGACAGGAGUGUGUGAUGUAUACAAAUGCAAAGGCCAUGAGUAGGGGCAAGGGAGGCACAUGUAUCUCUCAGAUGCAUUUUGUUUAGCCUGUCCAGUGUUUUAGAAACAAGAGGGGAAUACCACAUUUACAUGAAGAUUUCUGGUCUGGGGAGAACAAAAAAGGAGAGAUGGAGUCUUUUGUGUGGUACCAGUUGUUUUAAAUUCCAUGUUUCUGUAUUUAUCCAAGUUAUUAUUUCUGCUUUAAUUAGUCUCAGUCAAGCAGAAAUUAUUGACAUGUACAUCAUGGAAAGGGCAUGGCUUAGUAUUUGUCAACACUGCCAUUCCUUAGAGAA